UCAUAGCUCAGGGGUAAGAUGCUUGCUCUGCAAGCAAAUGGCUCCGGGUUCAAUCCCCAGCAUCUCAA